rnacentral:misc_RNA from 1 species
GUGGGGGUCAAAAAGCACAUCACCAGUUGCAAGCUCAAAACAAAUGCAAGCAAAGGACCAAAGAUCAGCUGAUGUGGAAUACUUAGAUCCAAGUAUCACCUCUGGACACCGGUAUUGUCUUGUCUGGAUAUCAUUUGUAAACUGUUUGUAUGUCCAGCAUGCAUUUCCAAAGUCCACCAAUUUGCACUUCAGGUCAACUGAGGCCAGCAGUUUCUUCCUUGUGGAGUGGCUUCCCCUCUUAUUUCCCUGAUUUUCUAAAUCAUUGCUCUUCG